UACGUAGGGGGCUAGCGUUGUCCGGAAUCAUUGGGCGUAAAGAGCGCGUAGGCGGCUAGAUAAGUCCGGUGUGAAAGUCACAGGCUCAACCUGUGAAUGCCGCUGGAAACUGUCUGGCUAGAGUCCGGAAGGGGCGAGUGGAAUUCCUGGUGUAGCGGUUAAAUGCGCAGAUAUCAGGAGGAACACCAAUGGCGAAGGCAGCUCGCUGGGACGGUACUGACGCUGAGGCGCGAAAGCGUGGGGAGCAAACAGG
rnacentral:rRNA from 1 species